UGCCCACAGGACUGUUGGGGAACCGAGCUCUGCUCUGCCCCCAUCUCUGGCACCUAUCCCUUCUGAUUCCCCCUUGUAACUCUCCUGUCCCACUCUGGUACGGAUAUUCAUUUUCUUCCGAACAACCCCUUUCUUCCUUUAAGGGAAAAAGACUUCAGAAUGAAGGCCAACACAGCCUCAGAGCAGAACCCCCGUGCCUACACUUGGGUACCAUCAAAGCAGUCAAUGUCCUAAGGGCUUUCUCUUUAGAAACCGGACAGACCCUGUGAUCCCUGUGGGAGUUUUCAUCACUGCCCACAGCUAGGCUUCCUACAGGAAAGGGCCUGAGACCGGGAGAGCCUGGGAAGAUGUGUCUCUCCCAGCACUGAUUCCUGGGAUGAAGGUUAGGAAUGGGCAGACCUGGGGAAGAGGCAGGGGACAGAGAGAAUCGCCUGCUCUAACUCUCAAAAGCACUUAACACUGAAGUAAAACAUCACUCGGGUAGCAGUUGGCUGCCUUUACUGUUGGACCCUGAAAGCACCAUCACGUCAGCUACCUGGAGGCCACUUUGUGGGCAAGACCAACAGGACAACAAAAAUAUCAGCCCUGGAAGAUGACAUGACAAUUGCUAAGGAAAAGUUUUGAAUUUGUAUCUCUGCAGAGUAUUUCUCUCAGUUUUCUCAAGCCCCAAUAUACAAGUAAGAAUAAAUCAGCACAGCACCGAGGAUAUUAGUGAUAUAGGUGGGACGUGGUCUCUCAUCUGGUCAAUCGGGAGGAUUCCACUGCAGAUCAUCUCGGCUUUGGUAGAGACGAAGGACGGCAUCACCAGGCCUGGGCAGUCACAGAAGCAGAGGCCAGGUUCCACAUAGAGAGUCUGAAAGACAGGAAGAGGUGCAUGCUGGGCAUAUGGCACAGGAAGGGAAAGAAGAGCAGCACACAAGAGGCAAAGAACUUCAGGAAAUACCCAGAGCGGGAACCUGACUGAGAAGGAAAUACGAGGCCGGUGCUGCAGAAGUACCUGGAAGUGCUUGGUGUGACCAGGUGUGGCAGACACAGAUACUUUCUUGUUGCCCAUGAUGGUGUUGAUUGUUGAACUCUUACCAACAUUCGGGUAGCCCACCUAGAAGAGAGUCAAAGGAAUGUUUAUAAUGUAAGUUGGCAAGGAUCACAGGAUGCCAAAAGCCGACCUCAUCUAAAAAGCUUAUCUAAAGGGUUUUCCUUCCUUGAGCCUCAGAAUCCACAGUCCAACUUUCAUUCCAGUUCUGGCCACAGGCCUCCUCAUCGGGGUUGCUGCCCUCUUCCGAACACGUCUGCCAAUCUUCCUCCUCCUCACGACAGUCCUCAUACACACUGUCCUCUUCAUCACUGCUGGCAACUUCACUGAGUGAGACAGAAGCCCUGCCUUGGAGAUGUUCAGUCUCAUCAUGUGGAAUUUCAGCCUCAUCGCAACUGGAGUUUUCAGACUCAGCUGUGAUGGCUUCUCCAGUGUCUCCGUUUACUUCGUCCUGAUGAAAUAACAGAAAUCACAAAAGUCCAGGAGUAUAUUUACAACUGCACUCUUCACUCUGGUGGAAACACUCAGAGCUGGUUAUCUGAGACGAACAGAGGACAAGAAAAGCUAUGAAGGAGAACGAAAAAGGUGAACAGAAGGAGGAGAUCACAUAAGCCCAAGGACACAACCAAACUUUCAACAGUGAUGCCCUCUGGAGUGGUGGACCUUCAUUAUAAACAUUUUUGUAUUAUUUGAACUUUGCACAAAUAACAUGUAUUUUCUAACAGAUAACUCUUCUAUCCAUUAAAAGAAAGCAAGGGUUUCAAAAAGCCUGUGCCAAGCUGAAUUCCUUGGCAUUUUAAAGACAGUGGUUUGCAUAGUUAAGGAAACUGCUAUUCUUUUACAAUUGCCUUUAAUAAAUCACAGCACCGUGGAGCACAGGUCCCUGUGUGUGAAAAGUGAGAGCAACAAAACUCAGCUCCGUGUGUGGAAUCUGUUCACCAACCAUUUCCUUCAGGAAGAGAAAGGUAAAAAUCAUGGUGUGUCAAUCCUUCUGAAUUCGUACUGAUAACAAAGUAGAAAUUAGGCAAUUUACAGUAUCACCAAUUCGUAUCAACAAGGGUUAACUGGUUUGGAUUUAUAAGUGAUAAAACCUUGGAUCAUUUCCAAAUAAUCUAAUGUUAGAGUGAGUAGCCACCACAGAAAAGGACAGGAGGAACUCAGCUGAAUAGGAAUCCUACAUUUUAGGAAAGAGAUAUUUUUUUUAAAAUGUCAGGGAAGAGAGAGAGAAUUUCAUUAUCAUGCUUGGCAACUCGAAAACAAACAUGGAAUUGGAAGCAAUUUCUAUGAUAAAUGAGCAACAAAUGUAAAGAAGUCACUGUGUGCUCUUCUGAAUCAUUUAAAAAUACGGAAGAGGCAGAACCCAGGAAUGUGAACUGAAAGGGGAUGUGUAUUAGGAGAACGAAGGCUGGACACAGUUUAGCUUCAGGACAAAAGCCAAAGGCAACAAAAGGACUUGUAGUAGUUUUGUCAAAAAUAGAAAGAACAGAAAAGUCAAUCUUUGGGAAACACGGUGCAAUUCAACAGAUGGCCAAGAGAAAACUAAGGUACUCAACUCAAAAAAGUGUCCUAUUUUUUAAAAUAAGAAAUGUCACACAAUUGUAGAGAAGAGCCAAACUUCAGAUAGGUGAGAAACAGUGACUGUCAAACGUCUUUUAACAAGUUCAUGUUUGAUACUCAAGUGACAGAUGAGAUGACAGGUGUGACAUCACAAUGGUAGCUGGUAUGAUUUAGGAAAUCAUGUGUAACAGAGAUUUCAGAAGACUUGGGAGGAAUAAAUGGGGUUCAACUUUGAAAAAGGAAGAAAGAAUAUCUUCCGUAAACCACACAGUUAACCCAGAAUCUGACAGAGAAACAAUUCCACAAGUUAGCUGGUGAGCCUGAAAAAGAAGACAGUCAGCAACAUGAGGCAACAAGGGUUCCCUGAGAACACAUCAUGCAAACAAGUCCCAUUUCCCGCUGGAAUCUACUGCUUGGUUGACAGUUCAGGGAAUACCACAGAUGUGGAAACGAAUCCUUGUUCCAUUUCUGAUUGACUGCGCUACCAAGCUGGUGCCUCAGGGCUGAGCGACAGAGUGAUAAAUAUUCAAAAACUUCAGCAAGACACUGACUUCCAGGAGAGACGUGAAACAAUGGUGAAAAGGACAAAUGAUGAAGCCAGACUGGCUGAGGAUACAAGCCCUUAUACCUGCUGCUGAGAAAACUAAAUGGAGAAAACAAAGCAAGUGCUCAGAAUAGCGGUGCCUGCAGAGAACAAGUUUUCUGUGGGUUAGCUUUAUU